rnacentral:lncRNA from 1 species
AUGGACUGUUGUCCCCUCCAUGGACCCUCGCCUCCUCCGUGGGCCCUCAUCCCCUCUGCAGACUGUCAUCCCCUCCGUGGACCCUUGUCCCCUCCACGGUCUGUCGUCCCCUCCGUGGACCCUCAUCCCCUCCACGGACUGUCCCCUCCAGACUGUUGUCCCCUCUGGACCCUUGUCCCCUCCACGGACUGUCGUCCCCUCCGUGGACCCUCAUCCCCUCUGGACCCUCGUCCCCUCCACGGAUUGUCCCUUCCACAGACUGUUGUCCCCUCUGGACCCUUGUCCCCUCCGUGGACUGUCGUCCCCUCCAUGGACCCUUGCCCAUCCAUUGACCCUCAUCCCCUCUGCAGACUGUUAUCCCCUCCAUGGAUCCUCGCCCCCUCUGUGGAUCCUCAUCCCCUCCACAGACCCUCGUCCCCUCUGCGGACCGUCAUCCCCUCUGGACCCUCGUCCCCUCUGGACCCUUGUCCCCUCCGUGGACUGUCGUCCCCUCCAUGGAUCCUCGCCCCCUCUGUGGACUGUCGUCCCCUCCAUAGAACCUCGUCCCCUCCAUGGACCCUUGUCCCCUCUGGACUCUCGUCCCCUCCACGGACUGUUCCCUCCAGACUGUUGUCCCCUCUGGACCCUUGUCCCCUCUGUGGACUGUCGUCUCCUCCAUGGACCCUCGCCCCUCCACGGACUGUCCCCUCCACAGACUGUCGUCCCCUCUGGACCCUUGUCUCCUCCGUGGACUGUCGUCCCCUCUACGGACCCUCGCCCCCUCCAUGGACCCUCAUCCCCUCUGCAGACUGUUAUCCCCUCCAUGGACCCUCGCCCCCUCCAUGGACCCUCAUCCCCUCCACAGACCCUCGUCCCCUCUGGACCCUUGUCCCCUCUGGACCCUCAUCCCCUCUGGACCCUUGUCCCCUCUGUGGACUGUCGUCCCCUCUGGACCCUUGUCCCCUCUGGACCCUCGUCCCCUCCAUGGACCCUCGCCCCCUCCAUGGACCCUCAUCCCCUCUGGACCCUUGUCCCCUCUGGACCCUCGUCCCCUCCACGGACUGUUCCCUCCAGACUGUUGUCCCCUCUGGACCCUUGUCCCCUCUGGACCCUUGUCCCCUCUGUGGACUGUCGUCUCCUCCAUGGACCCUCGCCUCCUCCGUGGGCCCUCGUCCCCUCCACGGACUGUCCCCUCCACAGACUGUCGUCCCCUCUGGACCCUUGUCUCCUCCGUGGACUGUCGUCCCCUCUGGACGGACCCUCGCCCCCUCCAUGGACCCUCAUCCCCUCUGCAGACUGUCGUCCCCUCCAUGGACCCUCGCCUCCUCCGUGGGCCCUCGUCCCCUCUGGACCCUCAUCCCCUCUGCGGACUGUCGUCCCCUCUUGAGGAUGCCUUUUUAUCCUGUUCACCUUUCUCACCACUUGCAGGUGCUCAGAAUUUAUGCUGCGUGA